rnacentral:rRNA from 2 species
UAUCAAUAAGCGGAGGAAAAGAAACCAACAGGGAUUGCCCCAGUAACGGCGAGUGAAGCGGCAACAGCUCAAAUUUGAAAUCUGGCCCCCCCCGGGGGCCCGAGUUGUAAUUUGCAGAGGAUGCUUUUGGCGAGGCGCCUUCCGAGUUCCCUGGAACGGGACGCCGCAGAGGGUGAGAGCCCCGUCUGGUCGGACGCCAAGCCAGUGUAAAGCUCCUUCGACGAGUCGAGUAGUUUGGGAAUGCUGCUCUAAAUGGGAGGUAUAUGUCUUCUAAAGCUAAAUACUGGCCAGAGACCGAUAGCGCACAAGUAGAGUGAUCGAAAGAUGAAAAGCACUUUGAAAAGAGGGUUAAACAGUACGUGAAAUUGUUGAAAGGGAAGCGCUCGUGACCAGACUCGGGCCCGGCGGAUCAUCCGGCGUUCUCGCCGGUGCGCUCCGCCGGGCCCGGGCCAGCAUCAGCUCGCCGCGGGGGACAAAGGCUUCGGGAACGUGGCUCCCACGGGAGUGUUAUAGCCCGCUGCGCAAUGCCCCGGGGCGGGCUGAGGUUCGCGCUCCGCAAGGAUGCUGGCGUAAUGGUCACCAGCGACCCGUCUUGAAACACGGACCAAGGAGUCGUCUUCGUAUGCGAGUGUUCGGGUGUGAAACCCCUACGCGUAAUGAAAGUGAACGCAGGUGAGAGCCUCGGCGCAUCAUCGACCGAUCCUGAUGUUCUCGGAUGGAUUUGAGUAAGAGCAUACGGGGCCGGACCCGAAAGAAGGUGAACUAUGCCUGUGUAGGGUGAAGCCAGAGGAAACUCUGGUGGAGGCUCGCAGCGGUUCUGACGUGCAAAUCGAUCGUCAAACAUGGGCAUGGGGGCGAAAGACUAAUCGAACCUUCUAGUAGCUGGUUUC